AUUGAACGCUGGCGGCAGGCCUAACACAUGCAAGUCGAGCGAGCGGCGGACGGGUGAGUAAUGUAUGGGAAACUGCCCGAUAGAGGGGGAUAACUACUGGAAAAGGUAGCUAAUACCGCAUACCAUCGGAUGAGCCCAGAUGGGAUUAGCCAGUAGGUGGGGUAACGGCUCACCUAGGCGACGAUCCCUAGCUGGUCUGAGAGGAUGAGCAGACACACUGGAACUGAGACACGGCCCAGACUCCUACGGGAGGCAGCAGUGGGGAAUAUUGCACAAUGGGCGCAAGCCUGAUGCAGCCAUGCCGCGUGUAUGAAGAAGGCCUUAGGGUUGUAAAGUACUUUCAGCGGGGAGGCGUUACCCGCAGAAGAAGCACCGGCUAACUCCGUGCCAGCAGCCGCGGUAAUAC
rnacentral:rRNA from 1 species